rnacentral:rRNA from 1 species
GACAGAGGUGCCAAGCGUUAGGCGGAAUCACUGGGCUUAAAGCGUGUGUAGGCGGAUGCCUAAGUACCUUGUGAAAUCCCACGGCUCAACCGUGGAACUGCUGGGUAUACUGGGUGUCUUGGGUCAGCUAGGGGUUGCCGGAACAAAUGGUGGAGCGGUGAAAUGCGUAGAUAUCAUUUGGAACGCCAAUGAUGAAAACAGGUAGCUGGGAGUGUGCUGACACUGAGACACGAAAGCCAGGGGAGCAAACGGG